CACGUAGGGCGCAAGCGUUGUCCGGAAUUAUUGGGCGUAAAGAGCUCGUAGGCGGACUGUCACGUCCGCUGUGAAAAGCUAGGGCUUAACCCUGGCCUUGCAGUGGAUACGGGCAGACUAGAGGUAGGUAGGGGAGAAUGGAAUUCCCGGUGUAGCGGUGAAAUGCGCAGAUAUCAGGAGGAACACCAAUUGCGAAGGCAGCUCGCUGGGACGUAACUGACGCUGAGACGCGAAAGCGUGGGGAGCAAACAGG
rnacentral:rRNA from 1 species